rnacentral:rRNA from 1 species
GCGGGGGGCGUGUUUAACACAUCCAAUUGGAAGGAAAGGCCCCGGCUUCCAGGGUACUGGAGUGGCGAACGGGUGAGUAACACGUGGGUGUUNUCCCNUGCAUUUCGGAAUAAGCUUGGAAAACGGGGUUUAAUACGGGAUGGGACCCUUUUUAAGUGUGGGGGUUGAAAAGUUUUUUCGGUGUAGGAUGAGCUCGCGGCCUAUCAGCUUGUUGGUGGGGUAAUGGCCUACCAAGGCGGCGACGGGUAGCCGGCCUGAGAGGGUGUACGGCCACAUUGGGACUGAGAUACGGCCCAGACUCCUACGGGAGGCAGCAGUGGGGAAUAUUGCACAAUGGGCGCAAGCCUGAUGCAGCGACGCCGCGUGGGGGAUGAAGGCCUUCGGGUUGUAAACUCCUUUCGCUAGGGACGAAGCUUUUUGUGACGGUACCUAGAUAAGAAGCACCGGCUAACUACGUGCCAGCAGCCGCGGUAAUACGUAGGGUGCGAGCGUUGUCCGGAAUUACUGGGCGUAAAGGGCUCGUAGGUGGUUUGUCGCGUCGUCUGUGAAAUUCUGGGGCUUAACUCCGGGCGUGCAGGCGAUACGGGCAUAACUUGAGUGCUGUAGGGGUAACUGGAAUUCCUGGUGUAGCGGUGAAAUGCGCAGAUAUCAGGAGGAACACCGAUGGCGAAGGCAGGUUACUGGGCAGUUACUGACGNGAGGAGCG